CCAGAAUCCCCACCCUCCUCUCCGGCUCUCCCCAUUACAGCCUCUGCCCGCCGCCUCUCUCCCUCACUUCUCACACUCAUGGCGGCUGCACGCCUCACGCCUCACGCCUGAGAAUUCAUCGGCGCCGCCACAGAAACUGGUGCUCGCUGCAGCCUCACGCGAGCAGAGCAGAGGCAGCAGCAUCCCGUGACCCUCAUCUCGCCGCUCUCCAGACAACUCCAGCCUCUCGUCGCCCUCAUCUCUUCGGUGUCUAGGAUCGCCGUCGGCCGUCGCGCUCGCCGCCUCCAUGACUCCAUCCUCCAGUUCACGAAUUAAGGUAAACAUGAUCUCCGAAAACUAUCAUUUAUACAAGUCGGCCAAAGAUACCUACAGAUCUUACAUUCUCGCUUACAAUUCAUACUCUAUGAAGGACAUCUUUAAUGUUCACAGGCUUGAUCUACAUGUACUUCAUUCAUAUUCUUCUAACUGAAACAUCUAUCAUGCAUAUCCCAAAUAGAUGUAUUGUGGUGAUGUCUGUCAUUAGUUAGAAAUUGCUUGUAAGAUAAAACUUUGCGGUCGUUUUAAUGAGGCUCGGCCCUUAGUCUGCUUUUCCUGUGCUUUCAAGGGUUCUUUUUAGGUUUUUUCUUUUUCCUUUUUAAUAAAAAUCGCAGUUUAAUUAAUAAAACUUUGCGGUGAUGUCUGGGAAGUAAUUUGAUUUGUGUGUAUAUUUAUAACUCAACAUCUAUGUCCUAACUUUGGUUUCUUUUUAGCUGUAUCUAUGUAGCUUAAGCUUUAAUAACAGAAAUUAGACUCUAGAUAUAUACCUAUACAACAUACCCAUACUGUUUUCCUCAUAUAUAUUAGCUUAAAUCUGGUCCAUCUAAUCAAUCCAGAAGAAAUGCACAAUCGUAUAAAAAAACUAUACAGUUGGCAUGAUGUUGCCAAAAGGACUGGGAUUGUGUACGGUCGUGUUUUUAAAUGCUCCAAUCAGUCUCUCAUAGAUCGUUUACCCAGGUACCUAUCUUGUGGUGCAUGGGCAGGCAAGCUCUUCUGCUUGGUCAUGAUAAUCGAUUUUCUGUUAUUGCGUCUACUCCAACUGUGGCAGCCUGAUAGGAACAUCGAGGUUGUGCCCGACUUUAAUCUCACAAGUCUUCAUGGUGGAGAAGAGAAGUGGGAUUUGGGAGCAGAUGAGAAAUAGAGGUACUCACUGGUAAGAACAAAAAGGGUGAGUUACUUGGUAAUGAGAACAUUAAUAGAGCUAUAAUGUGGAAGAAAGAAGACCUAAAGAAAGCAAGGUGAAAUGAAGACUUAAAGAAAGCAAGGUGGGAGCGUUGAGAAUGAAGACUUGUACGUAGCUUUUUGUAUGGAUGUUGGAGAUGUUGUAUAAUAAUAGAUCUUUUGUGGAUGUUGGAUAGUUGAUUAUUAUCAAUGAUUAAAUGACAUUUCCAAUAUGUGUGAA